CCAGUAGUCCUCUUUCGCUUGAACCCAGAUGUCCUGCGAAAGUUUGACUCAGCAGCAUUGGCAGUUGGAGUUUUAACAGCCUCAAGGCGCUCCUCCUCCAACUCCAAAUGCCGCGCAACAUCCUCAAAAGUUUUGAUAUUGUCAUUAUGGGUCAAAUUUACUCGCAUAUGUUCCCACGAAUUGGGAAGGGAGCGAAUCAUAGCUUGGAUCUGCUGCUCAUCAGUCAAGGUGCCGCCAGCCGACUUUAACUCGCGAAUCAUGUUUGACAUUGUUCUAAC
rnacentral:lncRNA from 1 species